GUCUACAGCCAUAUCACCCUGAAUGUGCCUGAUCUCGUCUGAUCUCGGAAGCUAAGCAGUGUUGGGCCUGGUUAGUACUUGGAUGGGAGAACUGCUAUCCCGAGAAUUGCUCAGGACUAGCCAUGGGCA
rnacentral:rRNA from 1 species